rnacentral:SRP_RNA from 1 species
GCUGGGUGUAGUGGCAUAUGCCUGAAAUCCCAGCUAUUGGGGAGGCUGAGACUGGUUGAUCUCUUGAGCUUAGGAAUUCCAAGUUGCAAUGGGCUAAGAUGAUUGGGUAUUCCCACUAAGUUUGGAACUAAUAUAGUGAGCCCUGGGGACAUGGACCACCGGGUUGCCCAAAGACGGGCAAACAAGCACAGAUCGAAACAGCAGAUCAAAGCUUUUACACUAAUCAGUGCAGGAUUGGGCCCAUAAGUAGCCCCAGCACUUCUAGUCUGUGUAAGAUAGGGAGACCCAGUCUUAA